rnacentral:tRNA from 1 species
AUUUAAGUAGCUUAAAAUUAGAGCAUAAUAUUGAAAAUAUUAAGGUAAUAAAUUUAUUUUUAAAUA